GAUGAAGAACGCAGCGAAAUGCGAUAAGUAAUGUGAAUUGCAGAAUUCAGUGAAUCAUCGAGUCUUUGAACGCACAUUGCGCCCCCUGGUAUUCCGGGGGGCAUGCCUGUCCGAGCGCCAUUGCUGCCCUCAAGCACGGCUUGUGUGUUGGGCUCCGCCCCCCUCCCGGGGGGCGGGCCCGAAAGGCAGCGGCGGCACCGCGUCCGGUCCUCGAGCGUAUGGGGCUUUGUCACCCGCUCUGUAGGCCCGGCCGGCGCCCGCCGGCGACCCCAAUCAAUCUUUCCAGGUUGACCUCGGAUCAGGUAGGGAUACCCGCUGAACUUAAGCAUAUCAAUAAGCGGAGGA
rnacentral:misc_RNA from 1 species